CAAAGAUGUUCUGUUUUCAGAGAUGGAAAAAGAAUGCUGGAUAUGUCCUGAGAAGUUCGAUACCACAAAACAACUUAAAUCUCAUUUGGCUAGCAGUGUUCAUUCCAAGAUGGAGGUGGUGUGCCCCUUUUGUUUGGACAGACCUACAAAGUACAAGAGAGUAUGGGAAUUAAAAGACCAUUGCAACAGAUUCCAUAAACCAGCCAUGCAGGACAUGAGGCCCGACGUAUUAUCAGAAGGGAAUGCCUACUACCUUGCUGUACAUCCGGCAUGCUACAGGAAGGUAGUUAGGCCAACAGCUUUCUACUCACCCUCAGCCAGAGAUCUGAAGAAGAAAGCCAUGCAGGCAUGGCUGAAGAAGUCGAAAGACACCUACAGGACCCCAGAGGAGUGGGAGCAAGGAUGGAAAGAGGGCACUAAGUUUGAUGGGCCUCCAGGAGAGGAACUAUUUCAGCCAGUCUAUUCUGGGGAUGAGACACGGGCGGCCUCAUCCUCUUCUAUUGAUAUGGAGAUUACAAGACCUGAGGCCUGGCGCAUAACUUAUGUGGCACUGGUGCCACAAAGUAUCAUGGUGGAAGCCGUCUUUAAGAGAG
rnacentral:lncRNA from 1 species